rnacentral:lncRNA from 1 species
CGAGCGGCCCCGCCUCCGCCGCCGCUCGCCAUUGGUGGAGACGGCGCUGUGAUUUGCAUAAGGGGCGUGGCUCCGGGCGGCGGGCCCGUGCCGCCCGCCCGCCGCCUCAGAGCCGCCGCUCCGCCGGCCGGAGCCGCCGCCGCCGCCGCGGGGUCCCGCUGAGGGAUCCGCUGAGGGAUCCGCUGCCGCCCCGGCCCGCUGGAUGCCACCCGCCGCUCCUCCGGCUCCCCGUUCCGCCUGCCUCUUUUCGGCUCCUCUGUGCCUUUUUAUCCGCUGCAAAUCGUCCGGGGGCUUCACCGCCGCGCGGUACUGGCGGGGAACCUCCCGCCGGUGGGGAUGUGUUUCGUGCUCCGGUGUGCAGCCGGGGGCCCGGAUUUCCAGCGGGGUCCCGGAUUUCUAGCAGGGUCCCGGUUUUCCAGCGGGGUCCCGAAUUUCUAGCAGGGUCCCGGUUUUCCAGCGGGGUCCCGAAUUUCUAGCAGGGUCCUGGUUUUCCAGCGGGGUCCCGAAUUUCUAGCAGGGUCCCGGUUUUCCAGCGGGGUCCCGGUUUUCCAGCGGGGUCCCGGUUUUCCAGCGGGGUCCCGGAUUUCUAGCAGGGUCACGGUUUUCUAGCAGGGUCGCGGUUUUUUAGCGGGGUCCCGGUUUUCCAGCAGGGUCCCGGUUUUCUAGGGGCGUCCCGGUUCUCUAGCAGGGUCCCAAAUUUCUAGCAGGGAUCCCGGUUUUCCAGCGGGGUCCCGGUUUUCUAGCAGGGAUCCCGGUUUUCCAGCGGGGUCCCGGUUUUUCAGCCGGGUCCCGGUUUUCUAGCGGGUGCGGCGUGGAGCAGCCGGGUUCUUUCCCGAGUGCCGCGGGGCAGAGGCGCGGAGCGGCACCGUGGGACCGCCGGUUCUUUCCAAUCCCCUUUUCCAGGUUUUUUUUUGGGGGGGCGGUCGGGAGGGCAAAACCCGCUGUGUGUCCCCGGUGUCCCCGGGGCCGUGCGCUCCCGCAGCCCCGAGCGCAUCGCUUCGGUCCCGCUGCCUCCAGCGGGCGAGUAACGAGGAAAAAUCGGGGAAUCGCUGGGAAAAAAAGCGACACCAGACCCUCCGUGUCCCUUCCCCGACUGUCCCUCCUCUUUUCCCGCAGCCUUCCCGCAGCGGGCUCCAUCCCGAGCACCGGGAAGCGCCCGGGAGGUCCCGGCCGGAGGAGGAUGCGGCACCUCCGGCUCCAAAGAUUCCUGCAAAAGAAGCCCCCAAGGACAGGAGGAAUUACAGACUUUGGUUUUCUUCCCUGCUCACCGCUGCCUUCCAGAGCUCCCCAGCCCUGCCUGAGGCAGGGAAUUGCAUCUCCCAGCCCACAGGCUUGAAUUCCUCUUUGUCCAGCACAGGUAGAAGGAGGAAGGUGACUUUGGGUGGUUGUUUCCUCUUAUUCUGGAGAUGGGCUGGGGGAUGAGGCCGUGCCUGGAGCGGGGCAGGGAACGUGUCCUGCCGCAUGUCCGUGAUCCCGCACAAACCCUUCCGUGUUCCCUGUCCCUCCUCGGGGGAUGGAGCACAAUUCCCCGGCCUCACACAGCCAGAACACAGGGACAGGAGGGAGCUGGAGGUGCUCAGGAGCUCUGGUUUCCUGAGAAGUUCGCUCAUCCAUGAAAUGGAAUGAGAUAAUGCUCAGGGAACAAGUGGGUUCAAGUGGGGCCCUUUGGGGGUCUCGUGGCCGGAUUUUUGUGUGACAAAGGAUGGGGACGUUUGCCCAGGGAUGGGCACAGCCUGGAGCUGCAGGGCAGGAUCCCACGGGCUGUGGCAUCCUGGCCUGACACAGCAGGCCCUGACAUCAGCAUUCCCAGCAAAAAUGUGCAGAUUUGGGAAGGAACAACCCAGGUUCCUGUUGCCCAGUGCGCCCAGUUUAGAGAGGAUUUGGGGGAACAGCUCCAGCUCCUCCUGACGGAGUGGGCACAGCAGAGGCUGAUAUUUGGAAUAUUGCUUCAUUUUCUGACGUGGCCUCCAAGAAAAUUCCUGGCCAGCUCAGCCUGUGUUUCUGGGAAUCGGGCAGUAAAUCCAAAGCCUGUGUGCAUGGUUCCAUCACAUUCCCACUUGGGAAUCCUCAGCACCCCUGUGGGAUGAAGGCUGCUCCACCUCCCAUCCCGGUUCCUCUGUUCCAUACCCCUUCCUCCUGCAGGAAUAAGAGCGUGUGUGCAUUGGCUCCAGAGCAGGCAGAGCCCUGCUCGUGCCAGGAAGGAAAAAUUUCCUUUCCAGUGGCAGCCAGGGAAGGCAUUUUUAGAGGAUGAGAGCACGUGGAAUCUCUGGAGCCCGUGGAUGUGCUCUGGGAUGCGCACACAGACCGUGCUCCUCCCAAACUGGGCUCCAUCCCUCAUCUGACCAAGGGGGAAAGUUCUCAUUUAUCCCAAGCUGGCCUCCUUUGACCUGCCAGCAGAUUGCACAUGGGAAUUCCAAGGAGCAAAGAGAAAGAGCCUUAUGGGGAAUUAAAAACAAACCCUGAUCAGAUAAGAGGAACCUGUGGUGUUAAAAUCAGCCUUUGACACCUGCAGGAUUAAUGCUCAGCCCAGAGCACGUGGCAGCUCUGAGGCUGCUGUGAAACAAUGUUUAAGCCUUUCCAGAAAAACUCCUGAUAUCUGAACAGAAGGAAUAAGAACACAGGUGGUAAUUUCAAUUAAUUUCAAUUAAAACAAGCUUUGCCCUCAAGCUGGACAAUAGUGGUGGGUCCCAUCCCACACUGAGUGCUUGGGAAGGCUCUGCUGGCUGCUCAUGCAAUUUUAAGGCCAAAUUUAUGGAGAUCCAUUCCUUGCAGGUCACUUCAGGUCCAAAAUUUGCCUUUUGUUCACAUAAAAUGAGCCUUGCCUCACCCAAAGCUCGUGUGGCUGUGGCACUUGGGGACAUGGGUU